UACAGAGGGUGCAAGCGUUAAUCGGAAUUACUGGGCGUAAAGCGCGCGUAGGUGGUUUGUUAAGUUGAAUGUGAAAGCCCCGGGCUUAACCUGGGAAUGGCAUUGGAAACUGGCUCGCUGGAGUGUGGCAGAGGGGGGUGGAAUUCCGCGUGUAGCAGUGAAAUGCGUAGAGAUGCGGAGGAACACCGAUGGCGAAGGCAGCCCCCUGGGCUAACACUGACGCUCAGGCACGAAAGCGUGGGGAGCAAACAGG
rnacentral:rRNA from 1 species